UAUAAGCAAUCUAUACUGUGAAACUGCGAAUGGCUCAUUAAAUCAGUUAUCGUUUAUUUGAUAGUACCUUACUACUUGGAUAACCGUGGUAAUUCUAGAGCUAAUACAUGCUAAAAACCCCGACUUCGGAAGGGGUGUAUUUAUUAGAUAAAAAACCAAUGCCCUUCGGGGCUCUUUGGUGAUUCAUGAUAACUUAACGAAUCGCAUGGCCUUGCGCCGGCGAUGGUUCAUUCAAAUUUCUGCCCUAUUAACUUUCGAUGGUAGGAUAGAGGCCUACCAUGGUAUCAAUGGGUAACGGGGAAUUAGGGUUCUAUUCCGGAGAGGGAGCCUGAGAAACGGCUACCACAUCCAAGGAAGGCAGCAGGCGCGCAAAUUACCCAAUCCCGACACGGGGAGGUAGUGACAAUAAAUACUGAUACAGGGCUCUUUUGGGUCUUGUAAUUGGAAUGAGUACAAUUUAAAUACCUUAACGAGGAACAAUUGGAGGGCAAGUCUGGUGCCAGCAGCCGCGGUAAUUCCAGCUCCAAUAGCGUAUAUUAAAGUUGUUGCAGUUAAAAAGCUCGUAGUUGAACCUUGGGCCUGGCUGGCCGGUCCGCCUCACCGCGUGUACUGGUCCGGCCGGGCCUUUCCUUCUGGGGAUCCGCAUGGCCUUCACUGGCUGUGUCGGGGAACCAGGACUUUUACUUUGAAAAAAUUAGAGUGUUCAAAGCAGGCCUUUGCUCGAAUACAUUAGCAUGGAAUAAUAGAAUAGGACGUGCGGUCCUAUUUUGUUGGUUUCUAGGACCGCCGUAAUGAUUAAUAGGGAUAGUCGGGGGCAUCAGUAUUCAAUUGUCAGAGGUGAAAUUCUUGGAUUUAUUGAAGACUAACUACUGCGAAAGCAUUUGCCAAGGAUGUUUUCAUUAAUCAGUGAACGAAAGUUAGGGGAUCGAAGACGAUCAGAUACCGUCGUAGUCUUAACCGUAAACUAUGCCGACUAGGGAUCGGGCGAUGUUAUUCUUUUGACUCGCUCGGCACCUUACGAGAAAUCAAAGUCUUUGGGUUCU
rnacentral:rRNA from 1 species